GACGAACGCUGGCGGCGUGCUUAACACAUGCAAGUCGAACGGAAAGUCUCUGCUUGUGUGGGGUGCUCGAGUGGCGAUCGUGUGUGUAACACGUGCGUAACCUGCCCGCGACGUUGGGAUGCCUUCUGCAAGCUGGUACCAAUACCGGAUAGCUGCUCCUGCUGCAUGGUGGGGGUUUGACAGUUGCUGCGGUGGGGGAUGGACUCGCGGCUUAUCAGCUUGUUGGUGGGGUAGUGGCUUACCAAGGCUUUGACGCGUAGCCGGCCUGAGAUGGUUACCGGACACAUUGGGACUGGAAUGCGGCACGGACUACUACGGGACGCAGGGGUGGGGAAUAGAGUAUUAUGGGAGGAAGCCUGAUGCAACAACGCCGCGUGGGGGAUGACGGCCAUCGGGUUGUAAUGCGCUUUCGCCUGUGACGAAGAGUGAGUGACGGUAAUGGGUAAAGAAGCACCGGCUAACUACGUG
rnacentral:rRNA from 1 species